rnacentral:rRNA from 1 species
GAUGAACGCUGGCUACAGGCUUAACACAUGCAAGUCGAGGGGAAACGGCAUUGAGUGCUUGCACUGAAUGGACGUCGACCGGCGCACGGGUGAGUAACGCGUAUCCAACCUUCCCGUUACUGCGGGAUAACCUGCCGAAAGGCAGACUAAUACCGCAUGUUCUUCGAUGACGGCAUCAGAUUCGAAGCAAAGAUCCGUCGGUAACGGAGGGGGAUGCGUCUGAUUAGCUAGUUGGCGGGGCGACGGCCCACCAAGGCGACGAUCAGUAGGGGUUCUGAGAGGAAGGUCCCCCACAUUGGAACUGAGACACGGUCCAAACUCCUACGGGAGGCAGCAGUGAGGAAUAUUGGUCAAUGAGCGGAAGCCUGAACCAGCCAAGUAGCGUGCAAGAGGACGGCCCUACGGGUUGUAAACUGCUUUUAUGCGGGGAUAAAGUGAGGGACGCGUCCCUUUUUGCAGGUACCGCAUGAAUAAGGACCGGCUAAUUCCGUG